GGAAACUGGGGCUUUCUGGCUAGGAAAAAAGCCAUGAGGUCGAUCAGUAAUCAGAUGGCUGCUAUAACGGAUAUGUGUUGAGAUCUUUUCCAGUUACUUUAGCUGUUAGAAGUUUUGCAUCUGCCAUCAUGUCUGGCUUCUUUAGAUUCAAAUGCACCACCCAGAGAAAUGAUCCUAGUCUCAUAGAGAAUAUGAAAAAUGCCUUGUUCCAUCCUUCAUGAGGCGCAGAAGAGAACACCUCAGGACUAUCAACAAGCGUGCAGGAACAGUGAGCUGCAACUCAUGUGGAGUCUAUUGAGAAAAAUCUCCAGUGGCAGGUCUCCUGCUUGAGGGAAAAACAUUUGGUCUACUUGUUAGCUUCUCACCCCUUUUAUCUUCAAGUGACAGACUCAUCUCUGUGAAUCCUAAUAUUUCUUAAACUGUAGUCUGAGGACUCCUGGGGGUUCCCCAAGACCUUCUUACAAUCCAUGAAAUCAAAAUGAUUUGCCAAAUAUUGAAGAUAUUUGCGAAAAUUUAAAACAAUGUCACUCUUCUCUUGUCAUUUUAUUUGUUAAAAAUAGGAUUUGCCAUGAAAAAUUGUAUGUGAACAUUAGAUGCAUUUAAUAUUAUUAUUUUUAUAUGAUUCAAUAAAUGAAUA